rnacentral:misc_RNA from 1 species
GGUUGAUCCAAUGCUUUAAGAACAGAUCAUAUAUAGCCCAACUGCUCAAUCUUUAUUUUAUUCUCACUGUUCUUUAUUCUAUAAACAAGUUAGAAAUAGUCAAAAUAAAAAUAAAAAUGUGAAUUCAUUAGCUGGGUUGUUUUUCCCUGACAAAUUCUACAUUUUCUUUUGGCAUAAAAUGCAACUUGGAAACUUUAAAACUUGUAUUUGGCACACCAGAAGAAGUAUACCAUCUUCCAUUUGCCAUUGAGAUUUGUUCAAGAAAAAACCUGAACUUUGAGAUUACCAAUCUAUUCUAAAAUAUUCCCUGGAAGCAUAGUAACUUGUAAAAUUAAUUAAACAGCAACUAAAUAGCACUAAUAUUAAAAAAUUCAUCUAAAAAUAUUUCAUGGUGAGAGAUAAGGAAAAAAGAC